GACGAACGCUGGCGGCGUGCCUAAUACAUGCAAGUAGAACGCACAGUUUAUACCGUAGCUUGCUACACCAUAGACUGUGAGUUGCGAACGGGUGAGUAACGCGUAGGUAACCUGCCUGGUAGCGGGGGAUAACUAUUGGAAACGAUAGCUAAUACCGCAUAAUAUUAAUUAUUGCAUGAUAAUUGAUUGAAAGAUGCAACUGCAUCACUACCAGAUGGACCUGCGUUGUAUUAGCUAGUAGGUGAGGUAACGGCUCACCUAGGCGACGAUACAUAGCCGACCGGAGAGGGUGAUCGGCCACACUGGGACGGAGACACGGCCCAGACUCCUACGGGAGGCAGCAGUAGGGAAUCUUCGGCAAUGGACGAAAGUCUGACCGAGCAACGCCGCGUGAGUGAAGAAGGUUUUCGGAUCGUAAAGCUCUGUUGUAAGAGAAGAACGGGUGUGAGAGUGGAAAGUUCACACUGUGACGGUAUCUUACCAGAAAGGGACGGCUAACUACGUG
rnacentral:rRNA from 1 species